UCCGGUGAUAAUGGCGACGAGGAUCAACCUGUUCCCAUUCCGAACACAGAAGUUAAGCUCG
rnacentral:rRNA from 1 species